rnacentral:rRNA from 1 species
GGUUAAGCGACUAAGCGUACACGGUGGAUGCCCUGGCAGUCAGAGGCGAUGAAGGGCGUGCUAAUCUGCGAUAAGCGCCGGUAAGGUGAUAUGAACCGUUAUAACCGGCGAUACCCGAAUGGGGAAACCCAGUGUGAUUCGUCACACUAUCAUUAACUGAAUCCAUAGGUUAAUGAGGCGAACCGGGGGAACUGAAACAUCUAAGUACCCCGAGGAAAAGAAAUCAACCGAGAUUCCCCCAGUAGCGGCGAGCGAACGGGGAGGAGCCCAGAGCCUGAAUCAGCAUGUGUGUUAGUGGAAGCGUCUGGAAAGGCGCGCGAUACAGGGUGACAGCCCCGUACACAAAAGCGCAUGUGCUGUGAGCUCGAUGAGUAGGGCGGGACACGUGGUAUCCUGUCUGAAUAUGGGGGGACCAUCCUCCAAGGCUAAAUACUCCUGACUGACCGAUAGUGAACCAGUACCGUGAGGGAAAGGCGAAAAGAACCCCGGCGAGGGGAGUGAAAAAGAACCUGAAACCGUGUACGUACAAGCAGUGGGAGCACCCUUUGGGUGUGACUGCGUACCUUUUGUAUAAUGGGUCAGCGACUUAUAUUCUGUAGCAAGGUUAACCGAAUAGGGGAGCCGGAGGGAAACCGAGUCUUAAUUGGGCGUUAAGUUGCAGGGUAUAGACCCGAAACCCGGUGAUCUAGCCAUGGGCAGGUUGAAGGUUGGGUAACACUAACUGGAGGACCGAACCGACUAAUGUUGAAAAAUUAGCGGAUGACCUGUGGCUGGGGGUGAAAGGCCAAUCAAACCGGGAGAUAGCUGGUUCUCCCCGAAAGCUAUUUAGGUAGCGCCUCGUGAAUUCAUCUCCGGGGGUAGAGCACUGUUUCGGCUAGGGGGCCAUCCCGGCUUACCAACCCGAUGCAAACUGCGAAUACCGGAGAAUGUUAUCACGGGAGACACACGGCGGGUGCUAACGUCCGUCGUGAAGAGGGAAACAACCCAGACCGCCAGCUAAGGUCCCAAAGUCAUGGUUAAGUGGGAAACGAUGUGGGAAGGCCCAGACAGCCAGGAUGUUGGCUUAGAAGCAGCCAUCAUUUAAAGAAAGCGUAAUAGCUCACUGGUCGAGUCGGCCUGCGCGGAAGAUGUAACGGGGCUAAACCAUGCACCGAAGCUGCGGCAGCGACACUGUGUGUUGUUGGGUAGGGGAGCGUUCUGUAAGCCUGUGAAGGUGUGUCGUGAGGC